CUGACACCUGGCUGGGAGUCAUGUUAUUGAGGUGGCUUUGGAUGUGAAAGAGUUUGGAGUCACAGAGAAUCAGAGGGUGGGUAAGUUUUAGAUUCUGGAAGCUAAGAGUAUUUUGCGGCUGGCUGCGUUCCCCUAGAAAUCUGAAGGGGUGCGACAAAUUUGGCACAUUUCCCGGAGUUCAGCUACACAGUGGUACCUCAUGUUAAGUACUUAAUUCAUUCCGGAGGUGCAUUCUGAAACUGUUCUUAACCUGAAGCACCACUCUAGCCAAUGGAGCCUCCUGCUGCUGUGGCGCCGCCAGAGCACGAUUUCUGUUCUCAUCCUGAAGCAAAGUGCUUAACCCGAGGUACUAUUUCUGGGUUAGCGGAGCCUGUAACCUGAAGCAUAUGUAACCUGAAGUGUACGUAACCCGAGGUACCACUGUACCUUUACCCAUGCUUAGCCUGUUUAUUUUGUGUAAAUAAAACUACCACAAAAAAUACAAAAAGUAUCCCAUGACCUUGUUCCACAAAAAGAGAACCACUUGCAGAAUAGAUACAAGAGUAGCAAUAUUAGAAUACAGCCCUAGAAAUCUACAAAAAACUGUCUGGUUAGUUACAAUCAUGUGAAAUUCAGUGUGUGUGUGCACGCAUGCACAAACACACACUCCUUUUUGUUGUUGUCCUCAUUGCAGCUUUAGGUCUGCCAGUUCACAAUACUGCAGUGGCUGCGUUAACGGAAAAAUCCGAGGGCUCCCUUGGACAAAAACAAAGACACCAACCAGGAUAACUUGGAGCAAAACAGCAGCCUGUAGGCUUGGCCUUUAUUGAUCUGUUGCAAUAGGGUGCUCCACUCACCCGCAGGAGAGAGGAGGGACCCAGAAAAAUGGUGUGCAAGGCCUUAUAAAGACUUUUGAAAUUGCCACCCUGUAGAUCAAGACACCCCCAGAAACAUCAUACAUGCAUCACAGAAGGGGUGUAACCUAAGACCACCCCUCAGAUACAUCAUACCUACCUCACAAAAAAGGCGGUCUAAACAGAAAUUUGAAUGUUGUUUUUCUCCUGUCCUUGUUUAUCUCCUGUCUGGCAGGUUACUUGAUUGGAUUGCCUGGGGAGCCUGGCCAGUCUUUUGUAAUGAUAAAUACUUAGUUCCUGGGCCAUGUCACAGGCUCACACCCUAUUCAAACACAGACAUACCCUUAAGACAGGAUUUGUGAAGGAAAAGACAAUGGGGAGGCUUUUCCACUUUGACCUUGCAGAGAAAACAUUUGCUCAGUUUAGGAAUCAAAAUGGCUUCAGGUCGGUCUUCCUGUGCUGAUCUAUGUACGUGCGGUUAUGAACAUUACCAUAUAUAUAAGACCUCAAAAUUCCUAUCACAGCUGCACAAUUUCCCUGGCAGGGACCAGCAAUACCAUGUCCCUUUAGUUUCUUCACCCAUAAUACCCAGCCCACCAACUCUCUUUUAGUGCUUUUAGUGCUCUUUUAGUGGCCCACUUUCCUUUUGGAAAUACAGUGGUACCUCGGGUUACGGACGCUUCAGGUUACAGACUCCGCUAACCCAGAAAUAGUACCUCGGGUUAAGAACUUUGCUUCAGGAAGAAACAAGAUUUACCAACUAUUGAAGAAUGGCAGAUGAAGAUGAUGGACUAUAUGGAACUUGCCAAACUGACUGGGAGACUCUGAGACCAGAGAAAAGAGACGGUGGAAGAAGACUGGAAGAAGUUUAAGGAAUAUUUGAAAAAAAUAUGUUAAUAUUUAAAUCUUAGAAUAGCUUUGGAAGUGGAUAUAGGCUGUCAGGUUAGAAGUACAGUGGUACCUCGGGUUAAGUACUUAAUUCGUUCCGGAGGUCCAUUCUUAACCUGAAACUGUUCUUAACCUGAAGCACCACUUUAGCUAAUGGGGCCUCCCACUGCUGCCGCGCCACCAGAGCCCGAUUUCUAUUCUCAUCCUGAAGCAAAGUUCUUAACCUGAAGCACUAUUUCUGGGUUAGCAGAGUCUGUAACCUGAAGCGUAUGUAACCUGAGGUACCACUGUAGUUGCCUGGGCAAAACAGGGAAUAAGCAAAGAUGGUUUUGGGAAGCCUUGACAACUGCUAGGAAGAGGGAAAGUGAGGGUGGGGACAGUGAGGGAGAGGGAGAGCGAGGAGAAGGAAUGAUGGAAGAAUACGAUGUGAGGAAUUUGUGAAGUACUGUACAGCCAGUGAGGGGAGAUUUUGAUCUAGUUCUGCAAGUGACUCUGGCAGAUAGAGGUGGAACAAAACUGCAACAGGGGACAGAGCAGCUAUGAGGUGCAGGGGGACCUGGCAACCUGCAAUAUUGAAAAGCAGCUUGAGAGCACCAUCUCCUCAGAACACCUGAGCAACACCUGAGUGACAUCAUAAAGGACCAGAGGAAGAUUGUGAUAUAGGUCCAUUUUACCUGAACGGCCUCAGUCCAGUAUACCUGAAGGAGCAUCUCCACCUCCAUCGUUCUGCCCGGACACUGAGGUCCAGCGCCGAGGGCCUUCUGGCGGUUCCCUCGCUGCGAGAAGCCAAGUUACAGGGAACCAGCAGAGGGCCUUCUCAGUAGUGGCACCCGCCCUGUGGAAUGCCCUCCCACCAGAUGUCAAAGAGAAAAAUAACUACCAAACCUGUUUAGGGAAGCUUUUAAUGUUUAAUAGGUUAUUGUAUUUUAGUGUUUUGUUGGAAGCCGCCCAGAGUGGGUGGGGGGACCCAGCCAGAUGGGCGGGGUAUAAAUAAUAAAUUAUUAUUAUUAUUAUUAUUAUUAUUAUUAUUAUUAUUAUUAUUAUUAUACAGCUUUGUCAGGGAAUCAUAUGCUGGAGAAAAGCCAUUCCUUCCCUCAUUUAUAAGAAAAACCAGUUUAACAAAUGUGUUUGUGUAGGUUUCCAUGCUUUAGAGUGAAAACAUGGAGCAUGGUCUUCUCACCUGUCACACACCCCCUUCAGUGCAUACCCUCAGAUUCUUGUUUCUCACAUCAUUCUACCCUGAAGCCCUCCUUCAGCCUUCUUACAUUUCAGAUCCUGUCACUUAUCAUCACUAUAUCCUGGGACCUUCCCCAGUUCUCAGCCUGCCCUAUGUGUGGUGCUAAUGCCAGCCAAACUGACAACGCUAUCUGCUGUCACACAGCUGGGACUGCCAACUGUUUAGUUCCCUGAGCAACAGAAUGUUCUGAGCCCUCACACCACAACAUGCAUCCCAGCUCAGCCCAGCAGUGCAACUGAAAUACAAUAUACAUAUAUUUCAUUCUUGGAUAAUUUACUCCUUCCUCGUGAUUCCUCCCAUCCUCCACUCCUUUUUUUUUCCUCACCAAGAUUUCUCCUUGGGUUUUUUUUGCCUAGCCUUUCAAAGUAAAGAAUAAGUACUAGAAACAGAUGAAUUCCUACGCAACAAGAUACAGGAACUGACAAGUUACUUUGCUGUCAGAAACAAUUCAAUUGACUUUUUAUUCCCUACUGUACAGAAGUAUUGUCUAGCGAGGUCAAAGAAAGUCUUUUACAAUGUUCCUUUUAAAAAGCAAGGAAGCUGACCAGUUGUCUCUAUUGUAAAAACACUGAAAAAGAUUAUCAUUUGGCAGAACAUGUGUGUGUGCAGAAGGUGAUUUAUUUCAUUAUGAAAUUGUUAUAAGAAUUUUAAGGUCUUAGAUAUGUAAUAAAUGUUCAUAAAUGUACCAAGUAAACAUGUACAUAAAUAUAUAAACCACAUGUCUGGAGCAGCACAGGAAGACCGUCCUGAAACCAUUUAGACUCCCAAACUGACCAAAUGUUUUCUCUGCAAGGAGGGAGGGGGUGAGGGAACCUUCCCAUUGUCUCAGGAAUUGGGAAAUCACCAUCUCAAAGGAACGGCCAGACUACCAGGAAAGGCAAUCAGAUAAGGCAUUUUCAGAUAACCUGGCAGACAGGAAAAACAACAUUCAAAUUUCUGUUGUAGACCACCUUUUCUGUGAUGUAGGUAUGAUGUUUGUGGGGGGUGGUCUUGGGUUACACCCCUUCUGUGAUGCUUGUAUGAUGUAUGGAGAGGUGGUCUUGAGCUCCAGGGCAGGAAAUUUAAAUAUCUAUAUAAGGGCAGGCACACCUUUGUUCUGGGUCCUCCUCCGUCCUCCUGUGUGUGAGGGGAGCACCCUGUUGCAACAGCUUUAAUAAAGAUCAGGCUUACUAGCUGUUUUGCUUCUCAAUAUUCUCUGGUUGGCCUCUGUUAUUUUCUCCUACCGAUAGGGAACCCACUUAAGGACUCUAUAUGGGCUCUUGGAUACCCCAUAAGGGAAAAAGGGCAGAUUUUGUUUACAACAAUACUGAAUCUUAUUAUAUGUCUGUUGAAUUGGCUUUUGUCUAAUUUGAAUUUAUAUUGAUAUGUUUCGUAACAAAUUCCCCCUCCCCACCAAUGUUUUGCAUUUUGAUAAUAAUCUGAUGCGUGUAAUUUGUGAGACACUUUGAAAACAGUUCGCUACAGCAUAUAAAAUAAGCAAACCUCAAACUUUAUCUUCCCCCUAAUUAUUUCCUUAGUUCAGCUUCUACUUUGGUGUCCGUUACUCUGCAAAAUUUUGCACUCUUAACUGGAAGAACUCUGGAACACCAGUCACAUCUGCCUUGGCUCUUAAACAUACAAUGGAAAUAGCAGAGGCCAAUAGUAAAUCAUCUCCCACGACUGUCAGAUAAAAUAAACUGCCUGAACAAUAGAGCUGGCUAAUGCAGAGGGAAGUGAUCUGGGGAGGUUAAGUAGGCCAGUAGCACAGGCCCUUAAGGAAAAAGUGACAUUUAAAAGAAAACAAUAGGGGAGGGGGAGCUAAGUGUAAAAAAACAAAAACUGUAAGGCAGUUGACAGCAACCACACUGCCAAAAGUGUGCUGUGCUAGGUUAGGCCAAGGCUAUUCCUGAAUAGUAAUUAUUUUGAGUUUACCAUGAAGAGGGUUUGGCAGGAAUAUUGACCAAUUAGCAAGGAACUUCAUGGUAGGAUUUGUGCCCUAGAUAGUCAAAUGACCUUUUUAGGUAGGAGCGUUACAAGAAUUCUGUAUUGCCCCUUUGAAUGACAUAAUUUUGUUUUCCUACACAAGGGGGCCAGUUAGAAGUCCUCUGGAGUACUAGAAAGAGUGAGAAAAGGGGGAAUCUGUCUGGAAAGAAAUAAUAGCAAUGCAGGAAUAACUAGCAAUACUGUGCUGGGCCCGGGAGUAACCCGUGAAACACGGUCCAGGACCAGUCCAGAAUCCGAAGGUUCCACUAGGAGUCAGUCCAACGGGGCCAAGGCAGAACACGAGGCAGGAAACCAGGCAAGGACAGGUACAGGAUCUCUGGCAGGAUCUAGCAUACUGCAAUGUUGCUCCCACAACCUGGGGUGGGGUCCGACAGCCUUUUAUCUUUGUCAGGGUAGCGGCCGGUCCUGAUCACCCGGCGACUCACCUCCCUGUUUCGCCCAAAGGCAAGCACUCCUCCUGUGAGUACUCAGGUCUCUCCUUCUCUCAGACCUUAGUCUCUGCAGUUCGGGAGACGUUGGUGAGUUACUAGACCCAGGGGCUGCCUCAGCCUCCCCGACCAAACCGGUAGUGGAGCAGCUGUAAGUGAUGGCCCAGCUGAAGGCAACGAGGUAAUCGCUGCAUCUGGAGCCAAGGCAGGCUCAGGUCCCUGACUCGGCCCAGCUGGUGUUUGUUGCAGGGGAGCCUGUGCAGACUGGGACCCUUCAGGAUCAGGCCCCAGACUUGGUUGCAGUGAUGCCUGAGGCAAAGGAUCCGGUGCAGACUGAGACUCCUCUGGUUCUGAGUCUGAGCCCAAGUCCCAGGCCAUCAAAAAUACCUACAGUCUAAACCAGGCAUAGGCAAACUCGGCCCUCCAGAUGUUAUGAGACUACAAUUCCCAUCAUCCCUGACCACUGGUCCUGUUAGCUAGGGAUGAUGGGAGUUGUAGUCCCAAAACAUCUGGAGGGCCGAGUUUGCCUGUGCCUGGUCUAAACAUUUAUUUUUACAUUAUCAUCAAAUCUCAAGUCUGAGGAAGUUCCAGAAGGCUUGCUAAGCUCCCCACCCACGCCCCGCCAAUCUUUUUAUGGAGUUGUAUUUAAGUUAUUUUGGAGAGAGACACCUUUUCUCCCCAUUUUCACUUGUGGGAUGUGAUUUAAUGAUUAAACAUUCUCCCUACAAUUCUAGCACUAAGUUGCCAUUCUUUGCUUAGGUGUCUGUUGUCAAGAAUGGUGCCCGUAAAGGAGAAUCAGUAUCACAGAUAAUAGAGAACUGGGCUCAACUCUAGUUCACAAAAUUCAACUCAGCUUGUCGGAACCCUGCUGUGCAGACGAAUCUCCUCCAUUCUUUGAUGUUACUAUCAGAGGCAGUCUCUGCAAGUAAAUUGGGGGUAGUAUGGCUGCAAGCUGUCAACCUGCGGUGUUUUCAAAGACUAGUUUGUUUUUCAUAGACUGCUUUCUAUAUAGAUGCUCUAGCACGAAAGCUGCCUCUGCUUAUCUGGAGCUGAGGAUGAAUCACCUGUUUCCCACUAGAUGAGUAACAGCUGCCAGGAAUUCCUGAUGCAAAAGUCAGUCCAUCAAGUCUGAAAGAGAUCAUAUUUAUUACUGCUAGUCUGCAGUGGGGCCCUGCCUUCCUACUACUCCAAAAGUAAAAAAACACCAAGUGAAGGUGGAUCUUUAAAAACCUCUCUGCAGUACUGUCUGUUUCCCAUGAUUUCCACUACCUCACCAUCUUUGCCUUCUGUCUUCAGACUCUGCAGCUACACACAAGACUCCUGCUCCCUCUCAUUUUCCCUUGAUGCCCCAUACACCUGUCACUCACUCCCAGAGAAUUUCCACCUUUCUCCUUCAAAAUCUCUUUUCCUUUUUAGUUUUGCCUUAAC